rnacentral:lncRNA from 1 species
GGCUCUGGAACCCCACUGCACUUUCUCUUUUUGAUGGACUAAAAUCUAGUGUUAAUAUGAUUCCUGGUUAGCUACAGUUCACUUGCACAGCUAUUCUGUUGUUAAUAAAUGGUAGAGAAAAAGGAGAUUUUAUUUAUUCUGCUUCCUUCUACAGUUAAUGUCAUUGUAUAUUUGCAAGACCAGAAUGUGAAGACAAGCCACGGAAGAAAAUGCUGCUGCUGAGACUCGAAACCAAUAUUUCAGAACUUGAGAACUAGAGAGUGGGCCCCCUACUGAUCUCACGUCCAGAGCGCCCCCCAACAAUCCUGAGGCUUCAUCAGGAGCUAUAGCCAUCUAACACUGCGUUUUUUUUUCAAGACCACCUAUUACUUUCCCGUGAUAUCAUGAUAUUUCUGAAUUGAAGCCCUAAAUUCUUGACCUGGAACUGGAGUUGGCAAUACCUAGUUCUACUUCUCAAACUGGAGUAUCGUUCUUAAUGUAUUUAUAUGUGUUUUGAGUAAUCCUCCUUCUGUAUCUGUUGUAUAUUUUUUCUUGGUGUUUAAAGACACGUCCAGCAUAGUACAUGCCUUUCAUAUCACACAGUAUGUGACAGGGUGUGCAGCUAUGGGGAAGCCUUGGGAAGUUUAAAGCCUCGUUUACACCCGUGAAAAACAGCUUCCAAGAAAUAACAUUCCUGGUGAGAAGGUACAAUUCUUAUUCUACAAAUCCACUAAAGCUGAGGUCCAUACUUAGUGUAGCACUCACAAACUGGUCACUUUGCUAUUAUGCACAGCGAGCUAAACAUAAAAAGCAUUUGAAACACACAGAAUGUUCCAUAGUUACUGUGAAAUUUUUCUUUCUAGUCCAGCGGAAGUUGGAAGGAAGUUUUUUUCCACUAACAAAUAUAGUCUUGUUAGUCUGUUCUCCUAAUUGAUUUUGUUACGGUGGUUUGGACAGAAGAGUGUGCUUAAUACCAAGGCAGCGUAGUAAAAUGUUUUUCAUAUUAUAUAGAAAAUAAUUGACUGUUGUAAGUUUUUGACUCUGCUCUUAUAUGCUGGACCACAUUCGCUCACAGAAUGAAACGAGUCAAGUUUUCUUCUUUCCAAAUGUAUUUUGAUAGAUACUGGAUUCUGUCUGUGUCAUAUUUGUGCCCCUUCUUUUACGAACAGUGUGGCAUUAUGUUCAUUUGGAUAAACUGUGAUUUAACAACUGAUUUAAAUAAAACACUUGCUUUCACUUAGGUUUGCUGGUUUUAUUAGGCACUAGAAGUGAGGACCUAUUAUCUCGUUAGAGUAAGAUGGAGCAUCCCUAAUGUAAACACUACGUGAACCAAUGAGAACUGAACACUUUAUGCUGGUUUGAGUUGGAUUUUCAGUUCAGAGGAAGCCAUGGCAGAGACACAUUUUCUAAAGUGAACUACUAGCUUUUCAGACACUUUGGGUACAGUUCUACAUGUGGUAAUUCCUGAAAAAGUCAAUUUUCCUUGAUAAUAUUUCUGGUUUUCAAAUAAUAUUUGUAGAAAGAAAGUUUAAGAAGGCUUAAUGGUGAGCAUUCUUUGCCUAAAUAACAUAUGAUCUUAGAAAAAGCUUUUAAGUGUCCAUGUGAUGAAUCAUGCUCAUACAUAAAGGAUUUUGCCACACAAUUGUUUUCAAAGAACAGGCUGUCGCCUACUGUAGAGUUACACUUAUCUCACACAGAGAACUGGCCUGGUGAAGCUGAUGUUUGACUCACCCUCAGUACUUCAGUUUGAGAAUUUAAAGUGCGACUGCCAAUUAAUGACCUUUAAAAGCAUGAUAUUCUAGAAAGCCUACUUUUAGUGGCAAAAAUUUUUGCCACUAAAAUUGGAAGGAGUUUCUCUUAUGUUAACAAACCUGACUACAUAAAUAAUUGGCCAUGCUAGUAACUACCUUGUGGUAGCAGUGGAUGGUCUCAUAGUCAGAAAACUAAAUUUAAUAUCCUAUUAGUAGUGUUUUCAAAUAUACCUAACAGCCAUCUUGUGUAAUUACUAAAUGUUAAAAUACCUGAAUGUCCCCGGGUAUGGUGGCGCAUCCCUAUAAUGCCAGCUACUCCAGAGGCUGAGGAAGGAUGAGGUCAACCUGUGCAACUGAGUUGAGACCUUGUCUCAAAAGUAAAAAGGGCUGGCAGAGGACCCCUGGGUUCAGUCUCCACUACUAUUUUCAAAACAUUACCAGAUUUAAGCUUUGGCAUGUGAGCAACUAAGACUUACAAAGAAACCCAAGUCUAGAGGUCAGUUUCUGAAGAUCGGUAAGAAGUAUUGGAGAUGACGAUUUGUGUUCGCACCAACUUCCUCCCUGUGACAGGAAAAACACCGCUGCUUUGAACAGAUGAGACAUGCAGCUGUCCCCUCUUGUUGCCACACAUGGGCAAGGGCCUGGCCAUCACGGUGGGCUUUCCAGUGGUAGCUGCUUCAUGACUGCGCCCUUUGUACUGUUACCUGACGUGCCCUGGGUCGCUUCUGUACAAGCUAGGUCUGUUCAGUCACAUUGUUUUAUUAACAAGAGGAACAGUAGCCUGAAAUGCAAUUCUGUUUUGUAAUUCUAAAGCUGCUGUUAAUUUAUGAGCAUAAUCAACUGUAAACUGCAGACGUUGGAGCAAGUGCCUCAAUUUUGCAAUUUUUGGCAUUACUGUAGAACCCUGUACAAUAGAAAGCGAUGCUGCCAGACUUGUAAACUCUUGCUACUUCUUGUACUUGAGGAAUACAAAUGUUCUCCCUCAGGUUAUUUUGCUUACUGGUACCCAUGAGUUGCCUCUCUGUGUACAUAGAUCCUUUGUUCCAGUAUUUCCCUUUGAUGUUUGGAACUACAGAUAGUCAGGGGCUGGAAAUUUUAGCUUUCAAUGUAAGCUUCAAGCUUAGCAGUUACCUUUACUCCAAGACAAUAUUUGAUUCCUACUUCUGUUUGGGGCCAAUUUUCAUUAAAUAAAAUACAAUGUAAUUAAAUGC